rnacentral:tRNA from 1 species
GAGGCUGUAACUCAGUGGUAGAGUGCUUACCUGGCAUGUAUGAGGCCCUGGGUUUGAUCCCUAGCACCACA